UCAGGAUGAACGCUGGCGGCGUGCUUAACACAUGCAAGUCGAACGAAGAUAUUUAGAAUGAGAGCUUCGGCAGGAUUUUUAUCUAUCUUAGUGGCGGACGGGUGAGUAACGUGUGGGCAACCUGCCCUGUACUGUGGAAUAAUCAUUGGAAACGAUGACUAAUACCGCAUGUGGUCCUCGGAAGGCAUCUUCUGAGGAAGAAAGGAUUUAUUCGGUACAGGAUGGGCCCGCAUCUGAUUAGCUAGUUGGUGAGAUAACAGCCCACCAAGGCGACGAUCAGUAGCCGACCUGAGAGGGUGAUCGGCCACAUUGGGACUGAGACACGGCCCAAACUCCUACGGGAGGCAGCAGUGGGGAAUAUUGCACAAUGGGCGAAAGCCUGAUGCAGCAACGCCGCGUGAAGGAUGAAGGGUUUCGGCUCGUAAACUUCUAUCAAUAGGGAAGAAACAAAUGACGGUACCUAAAUAAGAAGCCCCGGCUAACUACGUGCCAGCAGCCGCGGUAAUACGUAGGGGGCAAGCGUUAUCCGGAAUUACUGGGUGUAAAGGGAGCGUAGGCGGCAUGGUAAGCCAGAUGUGAAAGCCUUGGGCUUAACCCGAGGAUUGCAUUUGGAACUAUCAAGCUAGAGUACAGGAGAGGAAAGCGGAAUUCCUAGUGUAGCGGUGAAAUGCGUAGAUAUUAGGAAGAACACCAGUGGCGAAGGCGGCUUUCUGGACUGAAACUGACACUGAGGCUCGAAAGCGUGGGGGAGCAAACAGGAUUAGAUACCCUGGUAGUCCACGCCGUAAACGAUGAGUGCUAGGUGUCGGGGAGGAAUCCUCGGUGCCGCAGCUAACGCAAUAAGCACUCCACCUGGGGAGUACGACCGCAAGGUUGAAACUCAAAGGAAUUGACGGGGGCCCGUACAAGCGGUGGAGCAUGUGGUUUAAUUCGAAGCAACGCGAAGAACCUUACCAAGGCUUGACAUCCCGAUGACCGUCCUAGAGAUAGGACUUCUCUUCGGAGCAUCGGUGACAGGUGGUGCAUGGUUGUCGUCAGCUCGUGUCGUGAGAUGUUGGGUUAAGUCCCGCAACGAGCGCAACCCUUAUCUUCAGUAGCCAUCAUUCAGUUGGGCACUCUGGAGAGACUGCCGUGGAUAACACGGAGGAAGGUGGGGAUGACGUCAAAUCAUCAUGCCCCUUAUGUCUUGGGCUACACACGUGCUACAAUGGCUGGUAACAAAGUGACGCAAGACGGCGACGUUAAGCAAAUCACAAAAACCCAGUCCCAGUUCGGAUUGUAGUCUGCAACUCGACUACAUGAAGCUGGAAUCGCUAGUAAUCGCGAAUCAGCAUGUCGCGGUGAAUACGUUCCCGGGCCUUGUACACACCGCCCGUCACACCAUGGGAGUUGGAAGCACCCGAAGUCGGUGACCUAACCGUAAGGAAGGAGCCGCCGAAGGUGAAGCCAGUGAC
rnacentral:rRNA from 1 species